rnacentral:lncRNA from 1 species
GAUUUUAUUUAUUCAUUCAUGAGAGACAGACAGGCAGACACAUAGGCAAAGGGAGAAGCAGGCUCCUUGUGAAAAGCCGAUGUGGGACUCAAUCCCUGGACCCUAGUGAGCCAAAGGCAGAUCCUCAACCAUUGAGGCACCCAGGUGCCCCUACCACCAGGGUUUCUGAUUAGAGAGAUUAGCUAUGAAUUGUAUUGUUGCUCCCUUAUUCAUAGGUUGUUUUUCUCUUCUUUCUAGAGUUCUUUUUGACUUUGACUUUAAACAGUUCCAUUACAUUCAAGUAUGGUUCUGUUUUUUUCACACUUUGGAUUUGUUGAGCUUCUCCAAACUGUAGAUUAAUAUUCUUAUCAAAUUGAGAGGUCUUUUUAUUAUUUAUUGCUUUAAUUUUUCCUGCCUACUUUACUUGUCCUCUUUUUCUAGGAUACCCAUUACAUGUAUAUAGGGAUACGUCACACUGUUCCACAGUUCUUUGAGAUGUUGAUUUUUCUUCAAUCAUUGUCUCUUUAUUCCUUACAUAGGGUACUUUCAAAUGAUUUUCAAGUUCACUGAUUCUUCUUAUUGCUGUCUAUAUGAACUUGCCUAUUGUAGGUUCCUUAUAUAAGAGGAAUAAUAAAAUCCUGGUUCUUUGUGUUUGAAUUUAUUUUAACUAGUGUAAUAUUUCAAAGGUUAACCAUGCUGAAGUAUGUAUCAUACCUCAUUCACUUUUGUGGCCAAUUAAUAUCCCAUACUAUGAACAUACCACAUUUGUUUAUCCACUCAUUAGGUGAUAGAAUUGGUCUGUUUCCAGCUUUUGGCUAUUAUUCAUAUGUUGCUAUGAAUAUUUCUGUGAAAUUUCUUUUGUGGGUCUAUGAUUUCAUUUCUAAUGAACAUAUACUUUAUUGUAGAAUUGAUCUGUGUUUAACCUUUUGGGAAACUGCCACACUGUUUUCUAAAGUGGUUACACCAUUGUUCAUCCCCUCUAGCAGUGUAGAAGGGUUCCAACUUCUCCAUAUUCUUCUCAACAUUUGUUAUUUUAAAAACAGGAUUAUUGAGGUAUAAGUCUUGACAUACGAAUACAUUUGUGAAACCAUCACCACAAUUAAUACAUUGAAUAUAUCCAUCACCCCAUUAAGUUUCCUCAUCUCCUUUGAAACCCUUCUCUCUCCUGAUGCCUGCAGCUCUGGCCCCAGACAUCUAUUUAUUUAAUGUCACCAAAGAUUUGUUUGUAUUUUUUAGAGUUUUACAUAAAUGACAUCAUAUGUAUUCCCCCUCCAUCCCCCAGCUUCUAACUUAGCAAAAUGAUUUUGAGAUUCAUUCAUACUGUCAUGUGUGUGUGUUGAUAGUUCAUCCUUAUAUAUUAUUGCUUUAAGAGUAUUCCAUUUUAUAAAUACAUCGCAAUUUGGUUUUCCACUAACAUUUCAGAUGUUUCCAAUAUGAAACUAUUACAAAUAAAGCUAGUAGAAGCAUCUCAGUACCAGAGUUUAUGUGGACAUAAACUCUUUUUUAAAAAAAAUUAUUUAUUUAUUCAUGAAAGACUCUGAGAGAGAGGCAGAGACAUAGGCAGAGGGAGAAGCAGGCUCCCUGUGGGGAGCCACAUGCAGGAUUUGAUCCCAGGACCCCAAGAUCACUACCUGAGCCGAAGGCAAAUGCUCAACCACUGAAUCACCGACGUGCCUCGAUCCCAGGACUUGGGGAUCACAAGCUGAGCCAAAGGCAGAUGCUCAAACACUGAGCUACCUGGGUGUCCCUGAACAUAUACUCUUUUCACUUGGGUAUAUUCCUAAAGUGCAAUGGUUGAAUACUGUAGCAGGUGUAUGUUUAACUUAUUAAACUGUCAAAUUAUUUUCCAAAGUGGUUUUAUAAUUUUAUAUUUUCAUCAGCAGUGAAUGAGUGUUCCAACUCCUCCACAACCAUGUCAAAACUUAGUAUGGUCAAGCUUUUAAAUUUUAUCCAUCCUAAUUAGGUGUAGAGGUAUCUUGAUGUGUGUGUGUUCCUAUGGGAAUUCACAGAACAUGAAAUUAACUAUUUUAAGGGGAAUAAUUCAGCGGCAUUUAGUAAAUUUAGAAUAUUGUGCAACCUCUAAUUUGUACCUUUAAAGAGUUGGAUUAAACUGGUUUCCUAUUUUGCAGAAAAAAAAAAAGAAUAUUGUGCAACCAUCAUAUUAUUUACAUCACCCCAAAAUAAAAUCCCAUACUAAGUAGUUUUUAUAUAUUCCCUCCUUCUCCAAACUGCCAUGACCACCAAUCUGCUUUCUGUCUCUGGAUUUAUCCAUUCUAGAUAUUCCACAUAAUUGGAAUCAGAGAAUAAAUAUAUAGUCUUUUGUGUUUGGCUUCUUUCACCUAGCAUAAUGUUAUUGAGGCUCAUCUACAUUAUGGCAUGUAACACUACUUCUUUACUUUUUAUUGGCUGAAUAAUAUUCCAUUGCAUGCCUGUACCCCAAUUGAUUUAUCCAUUCAUCCACUGAUGGACAGUUAGGUUGUUUCCACAUUUUGGCUAUUAUGAAUAUUGCUGCUAUAAACACCUGUAUACAAGUACUUGUUUAAGUAUCUGUCUUAAGUUCUUUAGGGCAUAUACCUACAAGUGGAUAUUACCAUAUUACUGGGUCAUAUGGUAAUUCUGUUUAAUUUUUUCAGAAACUGCCAAACUGUUUUCCAUAGUUGCUGAACUAUUUUAUAUUGUCAACAGUGACAUAUAUACGAAAGGUUCCAACACCUCUACAUUCUCAUUUAGGCUUUUUUCUUAGGUUUAGUGGCCAACCUAGUGGGAGUGAAUGGUAUAU